rnacentral:RNase_P_RNA from 1 species
UCAGAUGGCUGGAUGGCCGCGGCAUCUCCGGAUGUCGAGGAAAGUCCGGGCUCCACGGAGACAUGGUGCCGGGUAACGCCCGGCGGGGGCGACCCCAGGGAUAGCGCCACAGAAAACAGACCGCCCGCGCACGCCGCGGGUAAGGGUGAAACGGUGAGGUAAGAGCUCACCGCGGAUGCGGCAACGCAGACGGCACGGCAAGCCCCACCAGGAGCAAGACCGAAUAGGGGUGGCACAUGGGCCUGUCUUCGGCUCGUCGCCCGGGUUGGUCGCGCGAGGCGUCCGGUAACGGACGUCCCAGAGGAAUGGUCAUCCAUCCGCGCAAGCGGGGGACAGAACCCGGCUUACAGGCCAUCUGACGCA